GCUGGAGAGGUGGACAGCUAAGAGCCCAGACAGGAAAGAAAGGUUUUAUAUGUCAUCUUAAGAAGCUUGGAUGUUAUUUUAAAAAUUAGCUAGACUUAGUGGCACGUGCCUAUGGUCCCAGCUACUUGGGGGACUGAGGUGGGAGGAUUGCUUGAGUCCAGUAUUUCAAGGCCACAGUGAGCAGUGAUCACUCACUUUACGUAUAUUGCCUAGCAAUCUGUGAUGUUUUAUAGCAGGCGCUUCCAGGAGGAACUUAUUCUCUGCUCCCUGGUUUUCUCUUGCUCUCCCAUGUUAGCAAGGCUCUAGAAUUCAAUUUUUUAAAGAGUUGUAAUUCUUUUCCUUUUUUUGUUUUUUUUCCCUCCCAUUCCCCCAUCUCCUCACUGCUGACUGAUGUUUCAAACCUGGGGAAACCUCAUUUGGAAAGACAAAUCCCAUCCUAAUAUCUUUGAGCCUUCCUCCCUCAGUCAUCUCCUCUUUCUCUUUAUGCUCUCCUUUUUCACUGGUUUUUCUUUUCUUUUUUUUCUUUUCAUCUAAAACAAGUCUGUUUGAAAAGCAAAGUACUUUCACAAUAUACUGUCACUUCAGCCUUUUUGCUUCUAGAACACAAAGGACAUAAAGUGCACAAGUAUCUAAAAAAGUGCCUUACAAAAUAGAAUUUCUCAGGAACUGGGACAGAAGACUCCAAAGUUAGGCCUGAGGUGUUUCACCAUUUUGGCCAGGCUGGUCUCGAACUCCUGACCUCAAAUGAUCCACCCACCUCAGCCUCCCAGAGUGCUGGGAUUACAGGCGUGAGCCACCGUGCCCGGCCUGAAAAUAUGUUAUAUGCCUUAGAGAAUGCCUCUG
rnacentral:lncRNA from 1 species